rnacentral:rRNA from 1 species
UACGUAGGUGGCAAGCGUUGUCCGGAUUUAUUGGGUUUAAAGGGUGCGUAGGCGGCUUUGUAAGUCAGUGGUGAAAUAUGGCAGCUCAACUGUCAGGGUGCCAUUGAUACUGCAGAGCUUGAGUACAGAUGAGGUAGGCGGAAUUGGCGGUGUAGCGGUGAAAUGCUUAGAUAUCGUCAAGAACACCGAUAGCGAAGGCAGCUUACUGGGCUGUAACUGACGCUGAGGCACGAAAGUGUGGGGAUCAAACAGG